rnacentral:rRNA from 1 species
GACGAACGCUGGCGGCGUGCCUAAUACAUGCAAGUUGAGCGCUGAAGGUUGGUACUUGUACCAACUGGAUGAGCAGCGAACGGGUGAGUAACGCGUGGGGAAUCUGCCUUUGAGCGGGGGACAACAUUUGGAAACGAAUGCUAAUACCGCAUAAAAACUUUAAACACAAGUUUUAAGUUUGAAAGAUGCAAUUGCAUCACUCAAAGAUGAUCCCGCGUUGUAUUAGCUAGUUGGUGAGGUAAAGGCUCACCAAGGCGAUGAUACAUAGCCGACCUGAGAGGGUGAUCGGCCACAUUGGGACUGAGACACGGCACAAACUCCUACGGGAGGCAGCAGUAGGGAAUCUUCGGCAAUGGACGAAAGUCUGACCGAGCAACGCCGCGUGAGUGAAGAAGGUUUUCGGAUCGUAAAACUCUGUUGAUAGAGAAGAACGUUGGUGAGAGUGGAAAGCUCAUCAAGUGACGGUAACUACCCAGAAAGGGACGGCUAACUACGUG